ensembl:processed_transcript 1110038B12Rik RIKEN cDNA 1110038B12 gene
CUCUUUGUGCACCCGCCCACACGGUUUGUCCUGUUUUCACCCUUCUUUGCUCUCCACCGGUCUGGGCAGGGUCUGAGGACUCCGGAGAGCAAGGCAUGGGUCCGCCUCGUGCCGCAGGUUCCUGGCCCACGCCAGCCGUACCCAGUAGCACAAUGGGAUUUGAGGACACACGCCAGCUGCCUACACCUGAAGAAAGGGUGAGCUCUGAGGACUUAGCAGGGGCCCCAUCCCCUCACCUAGAUGAGGGCUAACCUUGGAAUCCAGACAAAGGUGGAAGUGACCUAGAUGUGACCUGAAUGAGCUAAUCAUCUAAUGAGAGCCAGCCCUUUGUCCUGCCCGCAUGAAGGGCUUUGCUGCUACGCACUGACAAGUUGGACGGCUUUUUAUUGCUUUGUUGCCAGUUAUCUGAACAUGAGAGGCUGUAAGGUGUAAUCUGCGAGCCCUGCGCCCAGACUGAACCAGGGCCUCCCUUGAACAUGAGUAUUAGACAAUGAAAUAAGAACUUAUCUUGCCCAGACUAUAUAAUGGCUUGGAAAUGCAUAGUUUCCUGAACGAUCUCAAUAAAAUACUUUUAAAAG